AUUGAACGCUGGCGGCAGGCUUAACACAUGCAAGUCGAACGAGUGGCGGACGUGUGAGUAAUGUCUGGGAAACUGCCUGAUGGCGGGGGAUAACUACUGGAACCGGUAGCUAAUACCGCAUACCCUAGGAUGUGCCCAGAUGGGAUUAGCGAGUUGGUGGGGUAACGGCUCACCUAGGCGACGAGCCCUAGCUGGUCUGAGAGGAUGACCAGCCACACUGGAACGGAGCCACGGUCCAGACUCCUACGGUAGGCAGCAGUGGGGAAUAUUGCACAAUGGGCGAAAGCCUGAUGCAGCCAUGCCGCGUGUAUGAAGAAGGCCUUCGGGUUGUAAAGUACUUUCAGCUAGGAGGCGUUACUCGCAGAAGAAGCACCGGCUAACUCCGUGCCAGCAGCCGCGGUAAUAC
rnacentral:rRNA from 1 species